AGUGAACGCUGGCGGCGUGCUUAACACAUGCAAGUCGAACGAGAACGGAAUAUAGCUUGCUAUAUUUGUCAGCUAAGUGGCGCACGGGUGAGUACUGUAUAGAUAACCUGCCCUUAAGAAAGGAAUAACAGUUGGAAACGACUGCUAAUGCCCUAUAUGCCUUUCAUACAUAAGUAUGCAAGGGAAACGCUUUAGUGCUUAAGGAUGGGUCUGUAUGGUAUCAGCUUGUUGUUGAGGUAAUGGCUCACCAAGGCUAUGACGCCUAACUGGUUUGGGAGGAUGAUCAGUCACACUGGAACUGAGACACGGUCCAGACUCCUACGGGAGGCAGCAGUGGGGAAUAUUGCACAAUGGACGAAAGUCUGAUGCAGCAACGCCGCGUGGAGGAGGACACAUUUCGGUGCGUAAACUCCUUUUAUAUAGGAAGAUAAUGACGGUACUAUAUGAAUAAGCACCGGCUAACUCCGUGCCAGCAGCCGCCGUAAGAC
rnacentral:rRNA from 1 species